rnacentral:ncRNA from 14 species
UUAUCUUUGCCGGAAUUUGGUGAGCCGUAAAAAGCUCUUAAAAGGGAAUCCGGUGCAAAUCCGGGACAGACCCGCUGCUGUAAGCUCCGCACCAAAGUUUUUGAAGGAUAUAUCCACUGUUUUUAGGAAUGGGAAGGAUUUCAAAAAUGGAGUAAGUCAGAAGACCUGCCAGAUAAUAAUCGUUUGAC